UACGUAUGCAGCGAGCGUUGUUCGGAAUUACUGGGCGUAAAGAGUGCGUAGGCGGUGCUCUAAGUCUGUCGUGAAAUCUCCCGGCUCAACUGGGAGGGUGCGGCGGAAACUGGAGUGAUAGAGUGUGGGAGAGGUAAGCGGAAUUCCUGGUGGAGCGGUGAAAUGCGUAGAUAUCAGGAGGAACACCUGCGGUGUAGACAGCUUACUGGACCACGACUGGCGCUGAGGCACGAAAGCGUGGGUAGCAAACAGG
rnacentral:rRNA from 1 species